rnacentral:lncRNA from 1 species
GUUUCCUUUCCUUGCCUUGCCUCGAAUUGCCUUGCUUUGCCGUCUCUUGCCUGGAAUUGCCUUGUCUUGCCUUGCCUGGAGUUGCCUUGCCUUGCCUUGCCUGAAGUUACCUUGCCUGGAAUUGCAUUCCCUUGCCUUGCCUGGAAUUGCCUUCCCUGGAAUUGCCUUGCUUUGCCUGAAAUUGACUUGCCUGGAUUGGUCUUGCCUUGCCUUGCCUUGCUGGAAUUUCCUUGCCUGGAAUUUUUUGCCUUGCCUUACCUUGCAUUGACUGGAAUUGCCUUGCCUUGCCUUGCCUUGCCUGGAAUUUCCUUGCCUGGAAUUGCCUUGCUUUGCCUUGCCUUGCCUGGAGUUACCUUUCCUGGAAUUACCUUGCCUUGCCUUACGUGGAAUUGCCUUGCCUCGAAUUUCCUUUCCUGGAAUUGCCUUUCCCGGAAUUGCCUUGAUUGCCUUCCCUUGCCUUGCCUUGCCUGGAAUUGCCUUGUGUUGCCUUGCCUUGCCUUGCAUUGCUUGGAAUUGCAUUGCCUGGAAUUUCCUAGCCUGAAAUUGCCUUGCCUUGCCUUGCCUUGCCUGGAAUUGCCUAGCCUGGAAUUGCAUUGCCUUGCCUGGCAUUGCCUUCUCUUGCCUUGCCUUGCCUUGCCUUGUUUGGGAUUGCCUUCCCUGGAAUUGUUUUGUCUUGCCUUGUCUUGCCUUGCCUGGAAUUGCCUGGAGUGGAGGAGAAUGGCUCCAGUGUCAGACUCCCCAACAUGCUGCGUGCUCAGCAGGUUCUGCCCUUGGACAUCCAGGGAACACUCACCUUCCCCACCGUGGGAGAGGUCGCCAGACAGAACUGCACUGGGUGUUGGUGUCAUCCAGGACCCCAUACACUUUCCUGAGUGUGAUCCUGCUUCCCUCCUCUGGGCAGCUGCAUCCUUUUCUCCUGCAGGAUUUUCUGGAAAAUCGGCUCUGGGUUUCGUCUCCCUUCUCCCCUCUCCUUGCCCCAACCUCCUUUUUCCGAAAAAAUGA